GAUGAACGCCGGCGGUGUGCCUAAUACAUGCAAGUCGAACGCGUUGGCCCAACUGAUUGACGAUGCUUGCAUCCGAUUGACGUUGGAUUUCCACCGAGUGGCGGACGGGUGAGUAACACGUAGGUAACCUGCCCAGAAGCGGGGGAUAACAUCUGGAAACAGGUGCUAAUACCGCAUAACAAUUCAAAUCGCAUGGUUUGAAUUUAAAAGAUGGCUCUGCUAUCACUUCUGGAUGGACCUGCGGCGCAUUAGCUUGUUGGUAGGGUAAUGGCCUACCAAGGCAGUGAUGCGUAGCCGAGUUGAGAGACUGAUCGGCCACAAUGGGACUGAGACACGGCCCAUACUCCUACGGGAGGCAGCAGUAGGGAAUCUUCCACAAUGGGCGCAAGCCUGAUGGAGCAACACCGCGUGAGUGAAGAAGGGUUUCGGCUCGUAAAGCUCUGUUGUUGAAGAAGAACGUGCAUGAGAGUAACUGUUCAUGCAGUGACGGUAUUCAACCAGAAAGUCACGGCUAACUACGUGCCAGCAGCCGCGGUAAUACGUAGGUGGCAAGCGUUAUCCGGAUUUAUUGGGCGUAAAGAGAGUGCAGGCGGUUUCUUAAGUCUGAUGUGAAAGCCUUCGGCUCAACCGAAGAAGUGCAUCGGAAACUGGGAGACUUGAGUACAGAAGAGGGCAGUGGAACUCCAUGUGUAGCGGUGGAAUGCGUAGAUAUAUGGAAGAACACCAGUGGCGAAGGCGGCUGCCUGGUCUGUAACUGACGCUGAGACUCGAAAGCAUGGGUAGCGAACAGG
rnacentral:rRNA from 1 species